AGUGAACGCUGGCGGUAGGCCUAACACAUGCAAGUCGAACGGCAGCACAGAGGAGCUUGCUCCUUGGGUGGCGAGUGGCGGACGGGUGAGGAAUACAUCGGAAUCUACUCUGUCGUGGGGGAUAACGUAGGGAAACUUACGCUAAUACCGCAUACGACCUACGGGUGAAAGCAGGGGAUCUUCGGACCUUGCGCGAUUGAAUGAGCCGAUGUCGGAUUAGCUAGUUGGCGGGGUAAAGGCCCACCAAGGCGACGAUCCGUAGCUGGUCUGAGAGGAUGAUCAGCCACACUGGAACUGAGACACGGUCCAGACUCCUACGGGAGGAAGCAGUGGGGAAUAUUGGACAAUGGGCGCAAGCCUGAUCCAGCCAUACCACGUGGGUGAAGAAGGCCUUCGGGUUGUAAAGCCCUUUUGUUGGGAAAGAAAUCCAGCUGGCUAAUACCCGGUUGGGAUGACGGUACCCAAAGAAUAAGCACCGGCUAACUUCGUGCCAGCCGCCGCCGUAA
rnacentral:rRNA from 1 species